rfam:Ictidomys tridecemlineatus contig000646, whole genome shotgun sequence.
GGGAAUGUAGCUCAGUGGUAGAGUGCUUGCCUGGUGUUCAAGAAUCCCUGAGUUUAAUCCCCAGCACCA